rnacentral:misc_RNA from 1 species
GAGCUCACAAUGACCACCACACGCUUCACACAAUUGCCCACAGAGUGGGUAACAGGGGAUACUCUCUGCAAUAUCAUGUAGGAAACCUGCUGGUAGGCAUGGAAGCAAAGCGCAGCAAGAAGAGACCUAAUGUACACCUCCUUAACAUUCAAUCCAGCAGAUUGGAGGUAUGCGGGAGUAAAGUUGACGCCUUCCAUGAAGAGAGAUACAGGGGCUAA